rnacentral:rRNA from 1 species
AACACUGACUUCGACCUGAGAUCAGA